GCCCGGGUGGCGGAAUUGGUAGACGCAGGGGACUCAAAAUCCCCCGGCCCUCGCGGCCUUGCGGGUUCGAGUCCCGCCCUGGGCA
rnacentral:tRNA from 1 species